GCACUGCUGAGGAGUCCAACAAUAGGACGAAACAGGUGUUUAGUGC
rnacentral:hammerhead_ribozyme from 1 species